AGCUCUAGCAGCAACUCACCUCCAACUCCUUUCUGUCAAAAUGCCAGACUUUGACGAUGCUGUGCCAGCACCGUGCCAGGUUAUCAAGGAAGACACUGACAAGUGUGUCCGAGAGAAGGGAGCAGAAGACUGCAAAGAUCUGAUUGAUGCAUUCCAGGUCUGCAUAAAAACUCUGUCCGAGGGAUCAUAACAUGUAGUGGAUCUCAUCUUUAAAAAUCCAGUGCUUCAACUCAACUGUAUUGGCAACUUAUUACAUCGGAUUAAACCACCUGAAAACUGAGGGGGGAGUGAAGAUUCUGCACUACUGAUAAUAUAAUCAAUGCACCUGUGAAUGUGUAUGAUAUUAUU